GUGUCAUGCAAGAAGGAGGCGGCGGCGGCGGCGGCGGCCGGAGCUGGAGGGGGAGGAGGGGAGGAACCUGAUCCUCGGUAGCGAAGGGCUGGAGGCAAACACCGAGCUCCCCCUGAGUCGCCUGGGAGCAGGGAGGGUUCUGCUACCCUGAGGGGCCCUCCCCGCGGGGCAGAGGGGACCAGCCCAACAUGGCUUCCAACACACACAGAGACCAGAAGGACCCAAUAAGAGACCGAAGACACGACUGAUAAUACAGAAAGGAGGGUGAUGCUGUGUGCAAGGCAGAUACAAGAUGGUUUUUCCAUAAGAGGAAGUGAUCAUGGCAACCAUGACCUUCUCUCUUCCAAGAGGCUGUUGGGAAGGUGGGAUGACCUAGGAUUGACCUUGGACUUGACAUCACAGAAGCCAUUUCAACCUUCACAGGGUUUCUUCAGCAGUGCCCCGGAGCAGGGACUGCGCCAGCCAGCAGAAACAGCUAGUUGUUGUCUGCAGUGAAGAAUAAUUGGAAGCAUGGUGCCUGUUUCUUUUCCUGUGGGAGGAAGUCACAGCAUCUACUUCUGAAUCUGUGCUUGCCUUGAGGAACAACGGCAUGACACAAGAAUGUGGACGCUUUCAACCAGAGGAUUCUGUACGACAGUGUCGGCACACAAGGAGUGUUCCACUGACUGACCUCUUUUUGUUUUCAAAUGAAGAGGAGCCAAGAAUAGGACAGCUUGGGAAGCUCAUCUUCGUCUACGGCCAAACGUUGGUUUCUCAUUUCUAGAAGAUGAAAGAUGUGAUGACUCAGGAAAAACUGGAAUCUUAGUAACUGUGGUGGGCAUUGAGCCUUGCCAUCCACAAGAGAAAGCUUGCUGCUCGAGAUGUGAGUCUUCAGAUGUUCCUGCCGCCAUAUCUGACAGCUGCUGCCAAGAUUCCCUGGUGGGAUGGACUCUUAUACCUCGACAACCAGAAGCCCAAGUAAACUCUUCUAUAAAUUGAAUGACUCAUGCUUAAAAAAAAAAAAAACUAUCUUUA
rnacentral:lncRNA from 1 species